GGAAGAUAUUCGCUGGUAUAAGGCGAAUAUCGCCUGAUGCUACUCGAAAUCAAGUGUCCUGUCAAAGGGACCGUGGGUUCGAAUCCCACCCUCUCCGCCA
rnacentral:tRNA from 1 species